ensembl:snoRNA
AGACUCCCAGCUCUGCCAGUUCCACUAGGCUUCACUGGUGUUGCUUUUGUAACAGGGAGGGAGAGAAAGGAUCUCUCCAGGACCUCGGAUCAGUCUUACUGUGGCCUCUCUUUCCUUGAGGGGCACAGUAGGU